AUGCAACCUUCUUCUUCCAAUAAACUUUCUACCUGCACAUCAUCAUCCACCAAUCUCCCCCCACUUUUUUGUUAUUUCUCUGAAAUUAUGAUUGGCAUAUAUUUUGGUAAAAUAUAUUUUGGCAGCAGCAUGUUGAAUAAGAUGUUCCACCUUUAUGUUUUCAACAUGCCGAGUAAGAUGUCCCAACUAAGAGAUACGACAUCACGUCUGCAGUAG